rnacentral:misc_RNA from 1 species
ACGCCUCAAGUUGUCAUACCACUGUUAGAAUUUCUCUCUGAUGAUGGAGAUUUGGAUAAACAGGAAAUCGCAUACAUAAAAGGCUUGGUCUUGAAGCUAGAGGAAGAAUUGCAUACUGUAACAUCUUCAUCCUCCAAAUAAUUACACAUCCCGGCAGAUCAAAUUGGUGGUGCAAUACAAAGACAGUUCGCGGACGCCUUGAAAGUUCAUGUUCAACAGCAAGCGAAUGACGGUUGGAAGAGGAAGCAACUGGAUGUUUGGUCAACCAGCAAAGCAGCUGGUGGCGACAAAGGAAACCUAUAAGGGCUUACCAGUGGAACUUCAAAAUCUACAUGUCAUUAAGAAACAUCAGAUGUUUGUUGGAAUCCUCAAAAGUUCUAAACUCUUCGUACAAAAACAGGAACAACGUGAACUACUUGACAAAAAUGGGGAUUGCAAUAGAGUUUUGGUCUAUGGAACCGACUUGAGACACAAAAAACUAUUUUUGUUGAGCCACGACGAAAAAACGAAUUUACAGAGGCAAUGGAAGGAUUUUAUGAAAACGUUUGCAACCCAGAGAACAAGGGUGCUGUUUCUUGUUGUUUGCUAAAGAAAGACCGAACGUAUGUGUGCCAGGAUCAGGUGACCAGCUGUGCAUUCACCCCCAGGUUCUUGAACAAGAAAC